GACGACCGGCGCACGGGUGAGUAACGCGUAUGCAAACUGCCAUCCACUGGGGGAUAGCCCGGAGAAAUCCGGAUUAAUACCCCAUACAAGCGUAAAGCCACAUGGUUUAACGGGAAAAGCUCUGGCGGUGGGUGAUGGGCAUGCGUGGCAUUAGUUAGUUGGUGGGGUAACGGCCCACCAAGGCGACGAUGCCUAGGGGGCCUGAGAGGGUAGUCCCCCACACUGGUACUGAGACACGGACCAGACUCCUACGGGAGGCAGCAGUGAGGAAUAUUGGUCAAUGGGCGCAAGCCUGAACCAGCCAUGCCGCGUGCAGGAUGACGGCCCUACGGGUUGUAAACUGCUUUUGCACGGGAAGAAACUCCCCGACGUGUCGGGGAUUGACUGUACCGUGAGAAUAAGCAUCGGCUAACUCCGUGCCAGCAGCCGCGGUAAUACGGAGGAUGCUAGCGUUAUCCGGAUUUAUUGGGUAUAAAGGGUGCGUAGGCUGGCGGAUAAAGUCAGUUGGUGAAAUCCGGCAGCUUAACUGUAGAAUGGCCAUGGAUACUGUUCGUCUUGAGUUCGGUUGAGGUAGGCGGAAUGUGUAAUGUAGCGGUGAAAUGCUUAGAUAUUACACAGAACACCGAUUGCGUAGGCAGCUUACUAAGCCGUUACUGACGCUGAGGCACGAAAGCGUGGGGAGCGAACAGGAUUAGAUACCCUGGUAGUCCACGCCGUAAACGAUGAUCACUAGCUGUUGGCGAUACAUUGUCAGCGGCAAAGCGAAAGCAUUAAGUGAUCCACCUGGGGAGUACGGCCGCAAGGUUGAAACUCAAAGGAAUUGACGGGGGCCCGCACAAGCGGUGGAACAUGUGGUUUAAUUCGAUGAUACGCGAGGAACCUUACCUGGGCUUAAAUGUUGGGUGCAUUCCCGGGAAACCGGGAUUCCCUUCGGGGCUUCCAACAAGGUGCUGCAUGGUUGUCGUCAGCUCGUGCCGUGAGGUGUCGGGUUAAGUCCCAUAACGAGCGCAACCCCUAUCGUUAGUUGCCAUCGGGUCAUGCCGGGGACUCUAGCGAAACUGCCAGGUGUAAACCGCGAGGAAGGUGGGGAUGUCGUCAAAUCAGCACGGCCCUUAUGUCCAGGGCUACACACGUGUUACAAUGGCCGGUACAGAGGGCAGCUACCUGGUGACAGGGUGCAAAUCUCGAAAGCCGGUCCUAGUUCGGAUUGGAGUCUGCAACUCGACUUCAUGAAGCUGGAAUCGCUAGUAAUCGCGCAUCAGCCAUGGCGCGGUGAUACGUUCCCGGGCAUUGUACACACCGCCCGUCAAGCCAUGGAAGCCGGGGGUACAUGAAGUCUGCAACCGCGAGGAGCGGCAUAGGGUAAACUGUAACUGGGGCUAAGU
rnacentral:rRNA from 1 species